rnacentral:rRNA from 1 species
AUUGAACGCUGGCGGCAUGCCUUACACAUGCGGGUCGAACGGCAGCACGGGUGCUUGCCCCUGGUGGCGAGUGGCGAACGGGUGAGUAAUACAUCGGAACAUGUCCUGUAGUGGGGGAUAGCCCGGCGAAAGCCGGAUUAAUACCGCAUACGAUCUACGGAUGAAAGCGGGGGACCUUCGGGCCUCGCGCUAUAGGGUUGGCCGAUAGCUGAUUAGCUAGUUGGUGGGGUAAAGGCCUACCAAGGCGACGAUCAGUAGCUGGUCUGAGAGGACGACCAGCCACACUGGGACUGAGACACGGCCCAGACUCCUACGGGAGGCAGCAGUGGGGAAUUUUGGACAAUGGGCGAAAGCCUGAUCCAGCAAUGCCGCGUGUGUGAAGAAGGCCUUCGGGUUGUAAAGCACUUUUGUCCGGAAAGAAAUCCUUGGCUCUAAUACAGUCGGGGGAUGACGGUACCGGAAGAAUAAGCACCGGCUAACUACGUG